CCUACGGGAGGCAGCAGUGGGGGAUAUUGCACAAUGGGGGGAACCCUGAUGCAGCGACGCCGCGUGGGUGAAGGAGUGCUUCGGCAUGUAAAGCCCUAUCGGCAGGGAAGAAGCAAGACGGUACCUGACUAAGAAGCCCCGGCUAACUACGUGCCAGCAGCCGCGGUAAUACGUCGGGGGCGAGCGUUAUCCGGAGUCACUGGGGGGAAAGGGAGCGUAAACGGCCAAGCAAGCCAGGGGUGAAAGCCCGGGGCCCAACCCCGGAACUGCCCUUGGAACUGCCUGGCUGGAGUGCGGGAGGGGCAGGCGGAAUUCCUGGUGUAGCGGUGAAAUGCGUAGAUAUGAGGAGGAACACCGGCGGCGAAGGCGGCCUGCUGGACCGCGACUGACGUUGAGGCUCGAAAGCGUGGGGAGCGAACAGGAUUAGAUACCCCUGUAGUC
rnacentral:rRNA from 1 species